ACUGUCUUGCUAACAGAUGAGCAGCCUUAUUCGCACUACGUCUAAUCCAGCAUAACGAAAUAAAUGGACAAAGAAGCAGAAUAUCUUUACAAUCCGAAACAAUGACGCCAAACUCAGAAAAGUCCUCCGAAUUAGAGCGAAUGGCAAAGAAUAAAACCUGACUAUCAAUGAAAAUACUUCCAGCCUGCAGGAAAGCAUCACGAGCAUACAUUAAACAUUGACGCAAGGCCAAUGCCUCAGCAAUAGCAGGAGAACCACGAC
rnacentral:lncRNA from 1 species